rnacentral:rRNA from 1 species
GACGGAGGAUGCAAGCGAUAUCCGGAGUUAUUGGGCGUAAAGCGUACGUAGGCGGCUUGACAAGUCCCGGGUCAAAUCCCGCAGCUUAACUGCGGAUCGGCCCUGGAAACUGUCUGGCUAGAGUGGGGUAGGGGUAGAGGGAAUUCCUGGUGUAGCGGUGAAAUGCGUAGAUAUCAGGAAGAACACCUGCGGCGAAAGCGAUCUACUGGACCCAGACUGACGCUGAGGUACGAAAGCUAGGGGAGCGAAUGGG